UUUAAUUGAAGAGUUUGAUCAUGGCUCAGAUUGAACGCUGGCGGCAGGCCUAACACAUGCAAGUCGAACGGUAACAGGGAGCAGCUUGCUGCUCUGCUGACGAGUGGCGGACGGGUGAGUAAUGUCUGG
rnacentral:rRNA from 1 species